rnacentral:rRNA from 1 species
UACACUCCUGCGGGAGGCAGCAGUGGGGAAUUUUGGACAAUGGGCGAAAGCCUGAUCCAGCAAUGCCGCGUGAGUGAAGAAGGCCUUCGGGUUGUAAAGCUCUUUUGUCAGGGAAGAAACGGUGAAAGCUAAUAUCUUUUGCUAAUGACGGUACCUGAAGAAUAAGCACCGGCUAACUACGUGCCAGCAGCCGCGGUAAUACGUAGGGUGCAAGCGUUAAUCGGAAUUACUGGGCGUAAAGCGUGCGCAGGCGGUUUUGUAAGUCUGAUGUGAAAUCCCCGGGCUCAACCUGGGAAUUGCAUUGGAGACUGCAAGGCUAGAAUCUGGCAGAGGGGGGUAGAAUUCCACGUGUAGCAGUGAAAUGCGUAGAUAUGUGGAGGAACACCGAUGGCGAAGGCAGCCCCCUGGGUCAAGAUUGACGCUCAUGCACGAAAGCGUGGGGAGCAAACAGGAUUAGAAACCCUGGUAGUCCCAUGA